rnacentral:lncRNA from 1 species
UGUAUGUCCAUUAAUGUGACUCUUUACCCUUGCAUCUCCUUCACUCUUCCCGUUGAACAAGAGGAGAUUCAAAGAAACCUUUCAUCUCUCUUUUUUGUUGGAAGUUGCAAGACUGGAUUAUGAGGUAAUCUUCAGACAAUGCAUCUUCUUAUACACUUUCUUCCUUUCUUUUUAUUUAUUUUUAUUUUUUUUUCUUGUGUUUCCUCCACUCUUAGUAAACCCAAAUGAAUUUCUCAAGGAAAAAGAAAUUGGCCCUAUCUUCUUCCAGUUAGUCAUGAUGCAGUAACAAAAUUAAACGCCCAAAGAGAAUCACUAUCUGUGGAUCCAUUCUAGUUUCUCCUCUUCUGAUUUCCUUGUUGCCAUCUUUUCAACAGUGUGGUAAAUAGGACGAUGUAAUGUGUGAGCAAGUGAUGAUUUCAACGAAUAGUUCACCAUAUCUCAACUAUUAACCUUCUGGUUUGCUUGUUUGUCCUAGUGUGUUUUUUUUUUCUUUUUUUUUUUUUUCUUUUUUUCCCUGAU